rnacentral:rRNA from 1 species
GAAGGCAGCAGGCACGCAAWUUACCCACUCCCAGCCCGGNNNNNNNNGKGACGAAAAAUAACGAUGCGAGACUCUUCCGAGGCCUCGCAAUCGGAAUGAGUCCAUCCUAAAUCUUUGGACGAGGAUCCAUUGGAGGGCAAGUCUGGUGCCAGCAGCCGCGGUAAUUCCAGCUCCAAUAGCGUAUAUUAAAGUUGCUGCGGUUAAAAAGCUCGUAGUUGGACUUUCUAGAUCCAUUUCGUGGGUGAGUCGCUCGUUGUACUAGCGAUUCGCGUCAGUCACUAGAUAAUGUCGAGUUUCGGCGGCGAGUACUUCUACUAAGUUGGCUUCGGCUUUCUAUAGGGGAGCCGUCGUCGUUUCGCGGUAAACUUUCUAGCGGACGGUGUUUCUCGGUCUUCGGGUAUAGCUCGCCCGCGUUUGGUACAAUUAAAAUUUUGUCGGCUCGCUCGGAGUGCUCUUUACCGAGUGUUCCAGGGUGGCCGACACGUUCACUUUGAAAAAAUUAGAGUGCUUAAAGCGGGCUGUAAAAACGGCCGGAAUGUCUGUGCAUGGAAUGAAGUAACAGGACCUCGAUUCUGUUCUUUUUGUCGGUUUUAAUGAACCGAGGUAAUGAUUAAAAGGGACAGACGGUGGCAUUAGUAUUGCGACGCUAGAGGUGAAAUUCUUGGACCGUCGCAAGACUAACUACUGCGAAAGCAUUUGCCGAGAAUGUUUUCAUUAAUCAAGAACGAAAGUUAGAGGAUCGAAGGCGAUCAGAUACCGCCCUAGUUCUAACCCUAAACUAUGCUAACUAGCGAUCCGCCGAAGUCAUUCCCACGACUCGGCGGGAAGCCCCAGG